AUGUGGUUCCCUGCUCAGCUCCUGGAGCUGCUCCUGCUCUGGGUCCCAGGAUCCAGUGGGGAUGUUGUGCUGACCCAGACUCCACUCUCCCUGUCUGUCAUCCCUGGAGAGACGGCCUCCAUCUCCUGCAAGUCUAGUCAGAGCCUGGUACAUAGUGAUGGAAAAACUUAUUUGAAUUGGAUUCAACAUAAACCAGGCCAAUCACCACAGGGUCUGAUCUAUCAGGUUUCCAACCGUAUCACUGGGGUCCCAGACAGGUUCACUGGAAGUGGGUCAGGGACAGAUUUCACACUGACAAUCAGCAGAGUGCAGGCUGAGGAUGCUGGAGUCUAUUACUGUUAUCAAGGUACAGAAGAUCCUGCCACACUUGCAAACCAUACUGGCUACAUCAAAGUGGCCUGGCAGCGUGUAGAGAAGGACAUGAAGAAGGCCAAAGAACAGCUGAAGAUCUGCAAGAGCAAACAGAUACCUACAGAGGUCAAGAGCAAAGCAGAGGAGGUGGUGUCGUUUGUGAAGAAGAACGUUCUAGUGACUGGUGGCUUUUUCGGAGGCUUUCUGCUGGGCAUGGCAUCCUAG